rnacentral:rRNA from 1 species
UAAGCGUGCGCAGGCGGCUUUGCAAGACAGAUGUGAAAUCCCCGGGCUCAACCUGGGAACUGCAUUUGUGACUGCAAGGCUAGAGUACGGCAGAGGGGGAUGGAAUUCCGCGUGUAGCAGUGAAAUGCGUAGAUAUGCGGAGGAACACCGAUGGCGAAGGCAAUCCCCUGGGCCUGUACUGACGCUCAUGCACGAAAGCGUGGGGAGCAAACAGGAUUAGAUACCCUAGU